rnacentral:rRNA from 1 species
AUUGAACGCUGGCGGCAGGCCUAACACAUGCAAGUCGAGCGGAUGAAGGGAGCUUGCUCCUGGAUUCAGCGGCGGACGGGUGAGUAAUGCCUAGGAAUCUGCCUGGUAGUGGGGGAUAACGUCCGGAAACGGGCGCUAAUACCGCAUACGUCCUGAGGGAGAAAGUGGGGGAUCUUCGGACCUCACGCUAUCAGAUGAGCCUAGGUCGGAUUAGCUAGUUGGUGGGGUAAAGGCCUACCAAGGCGACGAUCCGUAACUGCUCUGAGAGGAUGAUCAGUCACACUGGAACUGAGACACGGUCCAGACUCCUACGGGAGGCAGCAGUGGGGAAUAUUGGACAAUGGGCGAAAGCCUGAUCCAGCCAUGCCGCGUGUGUGAAGAAGGUCUUCGGAUUGUAAAGCACUGUAAGUUGGGAGGAAGGGCAGUAAGUUAAUACCUGGCUGUUUUGACGUUACCAACAGAGUAAGCACCGGCUAACUUCGUG